CAGCAGCCGCGGUAAUACGUAGGUGGCAAGCGUUGUCCGGAAUUAUUGGGCGUAAAGGGCUCGCAGGCGGUUUCUUAAGUCUGAUGCGAAAGCCCCCGGCUCAACCGGGGAGGGUCAUUGGAAACUGGGAAACUUGAGCGCAGAAGAGGAGAGUGGAAUUCCACGUGUAGCGGUGAAAUGCGUAGAGAUGCGGAGGAACUCCAGUGGCGAAGGCGACUCUCUGGUCUGUAACUGACGCUGAGGAGCGAAAGCGUGGGGAGCGAACAGGAUUAGAUACCCCAGUAGUCCCUGUCUCUUAUAC
rnacentral:rRNA from 1 species